rnacentral:rRNA from 1 species
UACGUAGGUGGCAAGCGUUAUCCGGAAUUAUUGGGCGUAAAGAGCGCGCAGGUGGUUGAUUAAGUCUGAUGUGAAAGCCCACGGCUUAACCGUGGAGGGUCAUUGGAAACUGGUCAACUUGAGUGCAGAAGAGGGAAGUGGAAUUCCAUGUGUAGCGGUGAAAUGCGUAGAGAUAUGGAGGAACACCAGUGGAGAAGGCGGCUUCCUGGUCUGUAACUGACACUGAGGCGCGAAAGCGUGGGGAGCAAACAGGAUUAGAUA